AUUUAAGUAGUUUAUAAAAAUGUUGAUUUGUGGUGUCAGUGAUGUAGAAAUUCUACCUUAAGUU
rnacentral:tRNA from 1 species